GUGCUCGCUGCAGCAGCACAUAUACAAAAAUUGAAACGAUACAGAGAAGAUUAGCAUGGCCCCUGCACCAGAAUGACACACAAAUUUGGGAAGCCUUCCAUAUUAAA